rnacentral:rRNA from 1 species
UUGGUGGGGUAAGGGCCUACCAAGGCGACGACGGGUAGCCGGCCUGAGAGGGUGAUCGGCCACACUGGGACUGAGACACGGCCCAGACUCCUACGGGAGGCAGCAGUGGGGAAUUUUGCGCAAUGGGCGGAAGCCUGACGCAGCGACGCCGCGUGGGGGAGGACGGCCUUCGGGUUGUAAACCUCUUUCGGUUCUGACGAAGCUCUGCGUGUUCGUGGGGUGACGGUAGGGACAGAAGAAGCACCGGCUAACUACGUGCCAGCAGCCGCGGUAAUACGUAGGGUGCGAGCGUUGUCCGGAUUUAUUGGGCGUAAAGGGCUCGUAGGCGGUGUGUCGCGUCGGCCGUGAAAUCCUGCCGCUUAACGGUGGGCGGGCGGUCGAUACGGGCAGACUUGAGUUCGGUAGGGGAGACUGGAAUUCCUGGUGUAGCGGUGAAAUGCGCAGAUAUCAGGAGGAACACCGGUGGCGAAGGCGGGUCUCUGGGCCGAUACUGACGCUGAGGAGCGAAAGCGUGGGGAGCGAACAGGAUUAGAUACCCUGGUAGUCCACGCCGUAAACGUUGGGCGCUAGGUGUGGGGACUGUCAUGGUUUCCGUGCCGUAGCUAACGCAUUAAGCGCCCCGC